rnacentral:rRNA from 1 species
AUUGAACGCUGGCGGCAGGCCUAACACAUGCAAGUCGAACGCGUGGCGGACGGGUGAGUAAUGUCUGGGAAUCUGCCUGAUGGAGGGGGAUAACUACUGGAAACGGUAUCUAAUACCGCAUACCAUCGGAUGUGCCCAGAUGGGUUUAGCUAGGAGGGGGGGUAAAGGCGCACCUAGGCGACGAUCCCUAGCUGGUCUGAGAGGAUGACCAGCCACACUGGAACUGAGACACGGUCCAGACUCCUACGGGAGGCAGCAGUGGGGAAUAUUGCACAAUGGGCGCAAGCCUGAUGCAGCCAUGCCGCGUGUAUGAAGAAGGCCUUAGGGUUGUAAAGUACUUUCAGCGGGGAGGCGUUACCCGCAGAAGAAGCACCGGCCAACUCCGUGCCAGCAGCCGCGGUAAUAC